rnacentral:rRNA from 1 species
AAUCAACGCCGGCGGCGUGCCUCAGACAUGCAAGUCGAACGAUUAAAGCUCUCUUCGGAGAGUGUAUAGAGUGGCGCACGGGUGAGUAACACGUAAGUAAUCUACCUUCGAGUGGGGAAUAACGUCCGGAACGGACGCUAAUACCGCAUAAUGCAGCGGCAUCGCAAGAUGACAGUUGUUAAAGAAUUUAUUCGCUUGAAGAGGAGCUUGCGGCAGAUUAGCUAGUUGGUAAGGUAAUGGCUUACCAAGGCUACGAUCUGUAACCGGUCUAAGAGGACGGUCGGUCACACUGACACUGAAUAACGGGUCAGACUCCUACGGGAGGCAGCAGUCGGGAAUUUGGGCAAUGGGCGAAAGCCUGACCCAGCAACGCCGCGUGAAGGAUGAAGUAUUUCGGUAUGUAAAC